rnacentral:miRNA from 1 species
UAUGUAUGUGUGCAUGUGUGUGUACAUAUACACAUAUAUAUACACAUACACAUAUAUACAUAUAGAAACUGAACACACACACACACACA